rnacentral:rRNA from 1 species
GUGCCAGCCGCCGCGGUAAAACGUAGGAGCCAAGCGUUAUCCGAAUUUACUGGGCGUAAAGCGCGUGCAGGUGGCUCGAUAAGUUGGCUGUGAAAUCGCCUGGCUCAACUGGGCGAGGCCGGUCAAGACUGUCGGGCUAGAGGGCAGUAGAGGGAGGUGGAAUUCCCGGUGUAGUGGUGAAAUGCGUAGAGAUCGGGAGGAACACCAGUGGCGAAAGCGGCCUCCUGGACUGCACCUGACGCUCAGACGCGAAAGCUAGGGGAGCGAACGGGAUUAGAUACCCUAGUAGUCC